CAACUACUAAAAUAUCCCA
rnacentral:tRNA from 1 species